UGACACGGUAUCAUUUCUUUAGCAGGUCAUUUAACCUUCCAUUUCCUAAAUCUAUUUUCUAAACACAGCCCCCACUUCACCAAACUUCUCAGCCCUAAAAAUCAAAUUGUUUGGGCAUAUUCCAGCAGCCACCGAGUACACCAUUUCAUCAGGUGAUCGAUGGCACUCCAGCGACAAUCGAUGAUGCCUUUGGACCCUUCCAACUUCGAUUUUCAGCGAAGAGGGCAGAGAUCCAUGGCUGAUUUGUAAGGUUCCAUUGUGGCGAUGGUCGUACGAAAGAAGAGGCCGUUCGUGGGCAUGGAGGAGGCUCGAAUGCUUCGGUACUGGUUUCAUGCGAGACUGCUGCGCACUUGAGCUUGGUGGCUAGGGUUCCAAAAAUCUGGUUGGGGUUUGAGUUUUGGGCCAUUAGGUGUUGGGCUGUUUGGGGUUAAUUGGGUUAGAUCUGUUAUCGGGCUUAAGGGAUUUACUUGGGUUGUAAGUAUAAAUGGACUAUGGACAUUUAUUGGAUUUUUAUUUUGUGAUUUUUGUUUUUUAAUUUUUUUUUUGGAUCUUAACGGGCCCGGACGAGAUGGGCUUAUUACAGCUGCCCCUCUUUGUUCAUUGUCGUGUAAUGAAAAUAGAGCAAAGACUUCAAAUAA